rnacentral:lncRNA from 1 species
GUAGUUACGUCCACAUUCUGACACUAGCAUGCGACCACUCGAAUCUUUCAAAACCUGCACAACAACCAUACCAACUACUUAUCUCAUGUUUUAAGCAAAUGAUAGGUCAAUGCAAGACAAACAUUUAAGUGGUCUUCUAUUAUCGCUUCAUCUACUCACCAAUCCCUCCCUCCAGAGCUCCAUCCUCUAAGAUAUGAGAUAACAAUCUCAUUCUCCCACAGAAUGCAAAAUUGCUAAUAGUUCUUAAGAGCAGCUGCUGACCCAAAAACCAUAAUAGGAAAUUUCAAUACCUAAACAACAAGAAAAGAAAAAUUGUUAAGAAACUUAUCGGAUGACUUAACCCAUCUCAGCACAUAAAGAGGAUGGCGUAACCCAACUCAUCUCAGCACAUAAAGAGGAUGACUUAACCAACCUCUGCACAUUAAGAGUAACAACAUCUCGACAUUAUAAACUUCUGCAUUAUGAAAAUCCCAAAAGAAACACAACAAAAUUAAAAACCAUCUAUUGAUAUGAAAAACAGAUCUAAUCAAAAGCCUCAAAUCCAAGUAUUUUUGAGAGAUAUGAAGAACCAGGAAGCAAAUCUCCUUGAAAGUUGAGAUAGAAAUCCAAACCAAUGGAAAACUUAAAAACCAAGAGAUCCAAAGAAAGAGUAGAAUAAAAUUGUAUAAUCAGUGUAGACUUUUGUCUUAU